UCCCUACCCCUUUGUGUAGCAUUUUGUCACACGCUCGCACUCUAGUGUCUGAAUGAAUUCUAUGUCUAUUUUCCUUGCUAUUUUUCUGUUGCCUUCUUAAUGGUUUGGUAAAUCAAUGGUCAUUUAGCACACAGUGCAGAUAGCACAUCCUAGACGACUAUGGUUGAUAAUAUGCUUGCUCUCCUCUACCUUGGCAUUCAUGUGCAUCAAUCCAGACUGUCUAAACUAUGAUUACUCAAAUAGUGGUAGUCAUACAAAAACGGAUGCAACAUUUGUAUGGGGUUACGGUGCCCUGCCAAAGGUUGCAGCACUAUCUUGGCUAGUGGGUAAGAAAAAGGUGUUAGCUUUGGAUAAUCUCCGAAAGAGAAAGAUGAUUCUUCCGAAUGUCUGUCUACUAUAUUGCCAAGCAUGGGUGAUGCCGAGUUCUGUUGAUCGCUUAUUUUUAUGUGGCAUGGUGGGGGAAAAGGGGAGAUUAGGAAGAAAGUUUGACAGUUAAGCUUAUUAGCAGGGAUCUGGUUCAUAUGGAGGGAAAGGAAUGAGCGAUGUUUCAGGAAUCGUCAGGGCCAAGUAAUGGAGGUGUUUGGUAGGGCAAAGUCACGUGUAAUGGAGUAGGCGAUAGCAUCAAAAUUUAUAGCUUAGUUUCCAAAGAGUUGACUUGAGCUAUAAUAUGUAUUCUUUUGGCUUCGGUCAUUGAUCAAUAAAAUUAUCAAUGUUCCAAAAAAAAAAAAAAAGGGAUGCAGGAAAGGGGAUUUGACUCCAUUUCUCAACUAUUCAAGAUAUGGACAUGUAUAUGGAUAUGGGUAUCCAUUUGUAACAUGAGAUUCACAUCUAGCUUUUUCCUUCAAAACUUUGACCUAUUCUAUUUUGUAUUAAAAAAUACAUUAUCUAGUGUUGUAAAUACAUUAAAAAAGAAAAUACUCAUAGGAAAUCUUGGACCCAUUCAAUUUCAAUUUUCUAGCAUCCUAAAUUUUGAUGAAAUGUUCAUGUUUAUAGUUUUUUUUCAAGUAUAUUACAUACAUUAUGACAAGAAUGAAUUAAAUUUGUCAUAGUUUCAGACAUAACAAACUUAAUAUAAUAUGAUUCCUAUGAGUAUCCUAUCUGCUACCGGUGCUAGUAUUGUGUCAUGUCCAAGAUUAUCCAUUGAACAAAUACCAGUAUCGGGGUACCUACUGUCUAAAUCUUGGGUCCCACUGUGAUUGUGGAUGGACCAUGGUCUAAACAUCAAAUUGAUGGUCUCUUUUACUUAUUCAGUUUUGCCCAUUGAAACUUGGACCAUCGACCAUUUUUCUUUGGUUGGAGGUUGUAAGAAAAUACUUGAUGAUCUAUGGUCUAACUGAAGUUAUGGCCAUCAAGAGUGGAAUGGCAGAAUGGGAUUCAUGUAGCCUACCCCAGUUAGUUGGGAUAAGGCUUGGAUGAUGAUGAUUUGAUCUCUACCAAUUGAAGAUGGUUUGUAAUCUAUAUUGACAUCCAUGACAACAACCAGUUAGCCUUCCUCUACAAGGAAGUUGGAGGAAGAUCUCUCAUCUGAUGAUUCUGAGCAAGGAGCUGCUCUUGAUGUGAGAUCAGCAGCAAAAGAAAGCAAAGGAAUUGGAUGCCCCAGAACAGCAGCCCCCAGAUUAGCCUUUAAAAAAAAACAACGGACCAGACUCAAACAAAAGAAGCAAGAAGAGGGCCAUGAUGAUGAUCCUAUGUUUGUUUUCACAUUGUCUUCGGUGGAUGUGAACAUGCAUAUGAUAUGAUUAACCCUACAAUCCCAGGGUGAGGCAUAACUGCUAUUUUUAAAUGGUUGCUUGCUGAGGAAAAAAUCAACUGACAAUAAGUUAAGAAGAAAAAAAGAAGUCCCACCACGAGUAUUGACAUUGCAUAUCAGUCCGUAUCAAGCUAUAUCAUCCACGUCAGGCAGUAUGGUGCGACUUUUGAGCAUUGCUGGCUCACAAUUGGUUGGUAACAGUACAUGAUAUGUGCCAGGCCAAUAUUUUGAAUAAUGUGUCUGCAAUGUUUAGUUGGCGAGACAUGCCAUCUAAACAAAUGGUGGAGUUUCUUAGUACUCAAUCUUUUGGUUGUGAUUUCUUUUAGUGGAAAUGAUUUUUUUAAAGCCUACCUAUUGUGGGAUCUACCCUCCUUGGGUUGCAGUUUUUUGUUGGACUGCGGUUGAAAAUAAACUUCUUACUAUUGAUCACAUCCAUCAUUGCCUCUUGAAGAUAUGUUUCAUGUGCAAAUCUGCGAGGGGAACGGUUGAUCAUCUCUUCUUGAAUUGUGUCUUUGGACACAACUCAUUUGGAGCAAAUUCUUUCAAGUCAUCAAUGUUCAUUGAGCAAUAAAAGAACCGAUUGCAAAUGCUUUCAAAAUUUGGAAUGAUGGGCCCUUCUCCAAGUGUAAUGUUAUUCUUUGAUGGAUUCUCCCUUGCCAUCCUCCAGGGAAUUUGGAAGGAGAGGAUAACUUAUUUUGCAAUGAGAUGAAGUCACUUGAUGACCUUUUUGUCAAUUAGUUUUUAUCCAUAUUUGGGAGCAAUCUUAUAAGAAACUUAAGUCUUAGCAUUCUUUGGAGAGUAAAAGCUUGCACAUUGGGUUGCAACGACCAAUACAAUCUUAACUAUGGACAAGCUUCUAAAGGCACUAAUUGUUUCUUAUUGUUUCCUCUUCAUGCUGGAAAGAUGAGGAAACAAUGGAUUGCAUCUCUUUUUAGAUUGCACCAUGGCAAGACCCAUAUCAAUAUCGUUACUUGUAUUGAUGAUGAGGGAUACGGAAACAUGUAUUGAUAUUGUUAGAGCUGUACACUAGUCAAACUGAGUCGAGCUCGGCAUGGCUUGGCUCGGCUAGCAGCCAAACCCAGCUCGAACUCGGCUUGGCUUGACUCGAUCCUCGAGCCUGAUUGGCUAUCUCGGCUUAAUUCGGUCAGUGGCUCGGGCCAGGUCGAGCUGAGUUUGAGCUUGUGUGACAUUUUCUCAAACACAUAGAUUGCAUUUUCAAUUUCUCACACUUCGAAUGCAAAUCAGUAAGAGUGCUUUGCAGACAUUUCAUCAAACACUCGACGAGCAACAUCAAGAUAAAGAUAUGAGGACAGUUCUAUAAUGUGAAGUUUUUUUUUUGGUGGGAAUUUGUUUCUUCAAUCUUCCCUUGAAUACCCAUUUUGAGAAUACCCUGAUAUGAGGGCAGUCCAAUAAACAACACUUCGUUAAGGCAUUUCAUCAAACACUCGACGAGCAACAUCAAGAUCAAAAUGAUUGAGUCAUCGAGCUGAUUCGAUCUGAAUCGAUUUGAGUGAAGGUUUGAGCCGAGUCAAGUCAAGCUCAGAAAUUUUUGAGCUCCAAAAACCAGCUCGACUUGGUCUGAAUCCAAUUUCGAGUUGAGGCGAGUCGAGUCGAGCAAGCUGACCGAGCUGACUCAACUCGUGUACAACUCUAGGUAUUGCUGAUACUUGGAAAAAUAUUCUUGUCUGAGGGAAACAUUGGGGAACGUCAAAAAAAAGGUGGAACUUUUCAGUGAAACUUUUGGAGAUGUUAAAAGACACAUGUUUAUACAUGUAGGAAUCAAAAUAUUGCAAAAAAAAAAAAACAA